rnacentral:tmRNA from 1 species
GGGGGCGAUCCGGGUUCGACGGAGGUAAGGAAGCUUAAGUUGCAUACCGAGGUUCCACCUAGUCUCGUAAAACAGGUGGGUUAAACACAAACGCAGACGAUUAUGCGUAUGCUUUAGCCGCGUAAGGCUAACGUCCCGUCAAUCGGUCCUGCAAGGUUGACAGGGGCGCCGGUUCAGCAGGAUAGCCGACCUGGCUUACCUGUAGCCAGCAAGGCGAAAUUAUAACAGGUUAGUUCUGCGGCAACCUGGCCCGGUAGGGACCCGCAGGGCGAACACUUAUUAUCGGGCUAUGUAUGUAGAAGCUUAAGUGGAUUGCUUCCGGACGGGGGUUCGACUCCCCCCGCCUCCACCA